rnacentral:rRNA from 1 species
UACGUAGGGUGCGAGCGUUGUCCGGAAUUAUUGGGCGUAAAGAGCUCGUAGGCGGUUUGUCGCGUCGACUGUGAAAACCCGAGGCUUAACCUCGGGCCUGCAGUCGAUACGGGCAGACUAGAGUUCGGUAGGGGAGACGUGGAAUUCCUGGUGUAGCGGUGAAAUGCGCAGAUAUCAGGAGGAACACCAAUGGCGAAGGCAGCUCGCUGGGACGUGACUGACGCUGAGACGCGAAAGCGUGGGGAGCAAACAGG